rnacentral:rRNA from 1 species
GCCCAGCCGUAAACUUUUAUUUACACCUAAAUCGCCAGGGAACUACGAGCUAAGCUUAAAACCCAAAGGACUUGACGGUACCCCACAUCCUACUAGAGGAGCCUGUUCUGUAAUCGAUAAUCCGCGUUUAACCUCACCAUCUUUAGUUAAUCAGCCUGUAUACCUCCGUCGUCAGCUUACCACGUGAGCGCAAAUUAGUGGGCCCAAUGUUAUUACACCAAUACGUCAGGUCAAGGUGCAGCAAAUAAGAUGGGAAGAGAUGGGCUACACUUUCUACUUUAGAAAAAACGGAAAACUACCUAUGAAACCUAGUUGGAAGGCGGAUUUAGCAGUAAAAAGGAAUCAACACGUCCAUUUUAACUUGGCACUGGGGUGUGU